UCACCGGGAAAAGAAGACACAGAACAGUAGACCCCAGCAAGGAACACAUAAAGGCGAUUUUCCCUUUCUUACUCUCACGCUUGCCGUGGCCGGAAAAGCACACGUCUUAACUC